rnacentral:rRNA from 1 species
CCUACGGGAGGCAGCAGUGAGGAAUAUUGGGCACUGGGCGCAAGCCUGACCCAGCAAAGCCGCGUGAAGGAAGAAGGCUUUCGGGUUGUAAACUUCUUUUAUCAGGGACGAAGCAAGUGACGGUACCUGAUGAAUAAGCCACGGCUAACUACGUGCCAGCGGCCGCGGUAAUACGUAGGUGGCAAGCGUUAUCCGGAUUUCAUGGGUGUACAGGGCGGGUAGGGGGGAGUGCAAGUCAGAUGUGAAAACUAUGGGCUCAACCCAUAUCCUGCCGUUGAAACUGUACUUCUUGAGUGCUGGAGAGGCAAUCGGAAUGCCGGGUGUAGCGGUGAAAUGCGUAGAUAUACGGAGGAACACCAGUGGCGAAGGCGGAUUGCUGGACAGUAACUGACGCUGAGGCGCGAAAGCGUGGGGAGCAAACAGGAUUAGAUACCCCAGUAGUC